rnacentral:lncRNA from 1 species
GGGAGUUUACCGUACUGUGUAGACACAAAUCAAACUGUUUUCCAGAGAAAAGCAUAUGGCUUGCAGGUGGCUUACUAGGGGGGAAAAACUCCUCCUGACUGUCUAUCAUCUCUGAAAAAAAGAAUCUGAAUUAAACAAAGGGGCUGAAUCUGUAGCAAAGGCUUUCCACGGUUGUGGCUGGGUGAGGGAGGGAUGGAGGGGAGCUUGGGAAUUCAAGUGCCAUUAGGCUAGAGAAUUCGAGAUGACAGUGCUGCUGGCAGUGAUUCAAACACCUCUUUGGCAAAUUACUUCACUGAAAACUUGACUGAACCCAAAACUCACCCAAGCCCACCAAGCAAGUGUCUGCAACUUUAACUCAUAGCACCCUGUGUCCAAUAGCUGUGGCUUUCAAAGCAGGUGCUACAUACACGUGGAAAGAAACACACACCUUCUGUUGCCUCGCCGACUCCGUUAAGCUAAGCUCACCAAAUAAUGUCAGAGGACAUCAAGCGAUUUGUUUAGUUUUUAUCUUUAUUUUUCCUUGUGUUUCUGAGUCUCCACUAAUCAAUUUUGCAAUCUACCCCCUGGCCAACAUAAUUUAGCAAACUCAUUAUCGUGAUUAGCAUUACACUGGUUCUUGUAAAUAAAUUCCUCUCUGGUUUUCAGAAGGCAAACUUCUCCCAUUGCAAAAAAAGAAUCAACUACUUAAUGAUCUUCUCCUCUUUGGCAUAGCCUUUUCCUCCUAACAUUUGCUGGGGAUACUUUUGUGUCCCUAUCAGACCACUGUAGAAACCGAGUAGCAAGGGACAGUAUUUCUGAAAACCUGUAGGAAAAGUUUUUUAAUGAAAUGGCACAGGCUUAAACAGAUGCCAAGAAAGGAAAAGAUGGACUCCUUACUUUUAUAACUCAAGAUUUCUAUUUUGUAUCAAUAUAUGCUGCAUUUUCUGACUGAAAUCGCCGUCUGUCUAACAGGAUUUGUGACUUUCUGUCGCUUUCUACAUUUGAAAUCAAAUUUCAUACACUAAGCUUGUUUGUCCCUUUUCUGUUUGGGAUUCAAUUGGAGUAUUUUAUUUCAUUAAUUUCUUUUUAUGUGCUAAAAAUAAAAAAUAGCAAGUGACAUUUGCCUUCAUUCUCUCAAAAGCUAUCUGUGGACAAAAUCCAUAAAGCCUGUGGACUGUGAUCUAGAGAAAUAAAAGGCAGACCUCCCUGUAAACAGCGAAUUUGUGAAUGAGGAAUUGUUCAGUGGCCUCUGACUCCCACCCUUCCGUCCCUUCAGGGCCUUCUUUCUAUUCCGAGUCAUCCAUCAAGUAAUUGUGCAUUCAUAUAAGAUACAAAAUCAAAUGACCUGCUAUCAGGUAUGGACACAAGAGCUGCUUAUGCUCUCUACUUCAGGACUCUCAGCGUCCCACAGUCCCGGGACUGUCCUUCACUCGGCCUUUUUGUUAAUGGUGUGGCUUCGCUAUAAACCAUGCUAUCGUUUGCUUUGGUAUUAGCAGAUUUUACCUGUUGCAGCAAAUGAAAGGCAGACAGCACAUCUGAAAGGCUGGUGCCAGACGCCAUCAGCGCUGCUUGUAACCGCGAAGCUUCUGAGAUGGGAUUUACUGCUGUAAAUAUGUACAAUUUAUGUCGGCUUAUUUCAAUAAAAAAUUUAAGAAACCAGUUACAAAUGGCUCCGUAUAAACAGCGUCCUUUGUACUGUGCUUUGAAAACGUGAGAGUUCAAGCCUAUCUUUUUAUAACCCUUUAAUAAUGUUUAGAAUUAUUGUUUGACAGCUUUCAUUGUAAAAAUUAAUACGAAGCUAAAGCCCUAUAUGUAAAAACGAUGCUUUGUGAGAUUAUCCAACAAGGGGGGAGGGACAGAGAAGGCAGCAGUUUAGCGGGAGUUUGUUUCUGCACUACUUUUAAACACGUUCUUUAGGACACAUGUCUUAUACACAUGAACAGAAGAAGCAUUGCUACAGGAGAUGGGGGAAGAACAGUCUCUCCUGUAGGAAAAUUGAUGUCUAAAACAAAGUCAGUAGGUAUCUACUUGUGAGGUGGCUCCUGUCAGUUUUGUUUUGUUUUUUUUUUUAAUCUCUACUGUACACAGAAUGUGAGAACUGUCUGCCGGUCUUUCCUCAUUUGAAGACCUCUGAUUUCCAAACUCCUUCUCUUCCUUGAGAAAGCACUGACAAUAAAAUAACAAACAGACUGAA